CACUGGUCGAGUAGCCGUCGCCAUCAACAGUAGAAGCACUGGUCGCUGGACCGUAGGUCAACACGCCGUCGCCGUACAAGUCGGAUCUCCUUCGCCCCUCUUCUCCGGCCGCCGGCUGGCGCCCUCCCUUUGCUGGAAGGCGAGAAGGGCCGGCGGAUCCAGUCCCCGGCGUGGUCCUCUCCCUUCACCUCGCGCCGCCGACCUGGGCUCCCUCUUCUUCCACGGCCACAGCUUGGGGUUGCUGCCGGCUGAGAUCGUCCAAGACGACGACAAAGGGUUUGACUCCUACACCAAUCUCAUCAAGGUUGCUGUUCUCGACACUCCUGAUGUUGUUUCUCAGAGCAAUGCCACGCUAAGUUGCUCGCUCAAAGGGCGACAACCUGCUAUGGGGUGGUUCUCCAUGUGAGUAAUAUAACCUGCUAUGGGAUGGUUCUCUUUAUUCCACACUGCCUAAACUGACCACUGUUUGCAAGCUUUAGUUCUUAUUUGUUAAUAAUCGUGGGGUUCGGACCACGGCACUAGCGUCCCCUUGUCAUCAGCGGCGGCGGCUUAGGUUUUAUAUUUCUGCAGAAUUAUGUGAUGGAGCCUUGAUAUGUACCAUGACUUAAGUUCUGGACGUGCAUCGAGUAAAUGCAGCAGCCUUGAUGUUUGAAGUUACAUGGGCAUGGACUCUAAUUUGCAACCAGAAAGUUUAUACCGUUGUUGUGUGGGGAAAUUUGCACAUCCAACUAUUUGAUCUGGGAAAUGCAACGCCUCGCCACAGACUGUCAACGCAUUCAUGGUGGAGGGAAAGAUUGGUGUUGAUCCUGUUUGUAAAAUGGAAAGGAUGGAUGGGAGCUCUUCUGCGACAAAUAUAGAACUAUAGACCCAACUCUGAAGAUCAAGGCUUACUGUAUGGACAGUGUUUUGGUCUUUUGUGCUGAGGCUGGCCUGGCCCAGCACGGAGAGGAAAGCGGACGCGCCCACCACGGACCACUUUGUGGGCGAGCCUGUACCAGAUCACGAGGCCAGGCGGCGGUGGCCGCACAGGUACAUCAAUGUCAAGGGCUCUGGUCAUUCCCACGAUAGGUGGUAUGCGUCUCUGAAUCGAUUCUCAUCAUUCACUCUGUUCACUCCAUGUCAAACAGCUCUGCAGAUUGGGAAGGGGAGCAGAUCAGUGCCCGGUGCCACUACACUUCUGCUUCCGUUGACAAUGUCAUAUUCAAUCUCAACGACGAUGUCUUCAUCAAGAGGACGAAUGAAGCAACAAAGAUUAUGUUGGUCCAUAGAGCCCUACUACAUUCCUUUCCUGGCUAAAAAGGGAAUAUUGUCGCUCGCUGUCUACCCACUUCGACCAGGUUCAUAUGACAUGGCACAUGAUGAGUUAGGCAAUGAGAUGCGAGUGAAACUAUGAGAUGACCGAGUGAGACUACUGAACAUUAUGAUUUAGUAGAACUACAUAGGCCGCUCUGGCUUGCUUGGAUAUGUAACAACCCAACUAUUGUCCCUACUUAAUGAGGAUCCAUAGUCUUGACUUACUUUUCAAACCAAAUUUAUAUCCCCUCUUUAUCGUGAACUUGCCAAUCAACUGUUCUAUUAAUCAAAUGUAUCUUGCUUUGCUUUUGGUAUGUCUAAUUGUCUUGCGCUUUGGCGUUGAUUUAAUAAAAUGCCAUGAGUGUCCUGGGCAAAGGUAAUACCAUGUUUUUAAUGUAUACUUGUUGUACUGGGCUGAUCCAAUUGCUUAAAUUCACAUUUGACAACACUAAAUGACCAAAUGCUUUGUUUAAGCGCUUGACAAUAUGUUGAGCCAGGCACCGCGCGCCAAGGCGUGUUUCCUACCUAAUUGAUUCGUUAUCUGAUUCAAAACACUACUCUUUGCUGCUGAUGUAAUCAGCAUAAUUGUAUUUCUUUUAGAUAUUAUUGAAGCUGCCUAAACAACAUGUGUUGUCAUUUUCAUACUACAGGAAAAGAAGAGCUCCUAAUAUUUUGUAUGCUCCAUGCCGUGAGUUGCCACCUCUUGCCACAUGUUCGUGCUAAUUAUCAACCAUUUGAUCAAGUCAAAGGCAACAGAAAGGCACAAAGGCGAUCAAGGUCCUUAUGUACACCGAGUACUAUCUUUUGUCUACUAAUAAUUGCAAGUUAGAAAAAAGAAGUUCCAACUCUUUCAAGCAGUGUUUGUGUUUCUAUUGGGCAAAGCAAGAGUUUAUUGUAAAAAAAAAAAGGAAACUAACUAAGUCAUGCAUUAUGUAUUUACUGGUGGUGUCUAAGGAGAACAUAUGUGGUCUAUAUCUGAAUCUAUGAACUACUAUAUUGAUGAUGUCGAGUUAUGUCUACAUAGCCUACCUUCGAAUGCUUA